AAGUCGUAACAAGGUUUCCGUAGGUGAACCUGGCGGAAGGAUCAUUUACAAAGUAAAGCUGGUAGGUAAAGGUGGGGGUUCCGUUGAAUCUGUAAGUGGUGAGCGAACAGUCCGGCUGCCCUCCCUGAAAUGGUCUUACAUGUUCCCCCCACAGCCUGAAGGCCGAAUUACACCCUUAUUAUCUACACUUGUUGCUUUGGGGUGCUCAAGUGCCCCGUAGGAGCCCAACUCUCUUGCAUUUAGUGACGUCUGAGUACUAUAUAAUAUUUGAAAAG
rnacentral:misc_RNA from 1 species